UACGUAGGGGGCAAGCGUUGUCCGGAAUCAUUGGGCGUAAAGAGCGUGUAGGCGGUCCGGUAAGUCGGCUGUGAAAGUCCAGGGCUCAACCCUGGGAUGCCGGUCGAUACUGCCGGACUAGAGUUCGGAAGAGGCGAGUGGAAUUCCCGGUGUAGCGGUGAAAUGCGCAGAUAUCGGGGAGGAACACCUAUGGCGAAGGCAGCUCGCUGG
rnacentral:rRNA from 1 species